GGGUCCAUAGUUUAGUGGUAGAGCAUUUGAUUGCAAAUUAAGAGGUCACCAGCUGAAUUUGGUUGGGCCUU
rnacentral:tRNA from 1 species